GCGAGGUACAUUACCGUUAGGAUACACCAAGCAUCGUAAGAAAGAAAAAUUAGGAUUCAUAGAAGGUUCUUGCGUAACAAAGUCUUAUUCCGAGGAAUCUAUCUUCCUUGAAGACAGGAUCGUCGAUAUAAACGAGGAUAAGAAAUCAAGAAUUCAAUGUAAUUCAUCUUUGGAACGCUUAUCUGAAAAAAACGAAAGCUGGAAAGGGUCGGUUAACUCGAGGAUUUCGUUAAACUUUCCACGAAGGAAGGAGAUGAACGAGAUAAAUGAACAAGAUGAACAAGAAAAUAAAUUUGAAGAAUCCUCGUUAAGUAACAUCGCCGAUAAAGAGAGCAAAAGAUACGUCGAUCUACAACCCAGUUUAUGUACGAUCUAUAAACCAUGUAAAAGAAAUUCCAGGAAUACGUUAGCGGAAGUAAAUAAAAUCCAAUUAGUUACUCAGAAGAGUAACUCCUCGAAUGAGGAAAAACUUAUCGAUUCCAAACUGUGGAAGUACGCGUUAUUGGCAAAUCGGUCGUCGAAUAAUUUCUGUUCCAGCAAUUCCAUAUUUCAAAACGAUAUAGCAAACUAUACGAGAUACAAUCCUGAAAAGUACACGUUUCUUAGAAAAAGAAAUAGUCUGAAGAAUUAUAAACGUACCGUACGUUUACGUAGUACUACAAAUUUACUCGAUUUUGGUAAUCGUUGGAUAAAGAGUUCUCAAAAUGUCUGCAAAUCUUGUACGUAAGGUUAGAUUCAGAUUUACAGUUCGAACAAAUUUUUCUAAUAUUUUCAAAAAAUGGAAAGGAAAGUUUUAAAAAAUGUUUGCUUGUUAUUCGAAACGGAAAUUUAUUAUCGAUAUACGAAUUCAUCAAGCUAAAUUAAAAUUAAUCAAAUUGAUUAAUUAAUCAACGUUAAAUCAAGAGGUUCCUUUGAUUUCUGCAACAAAAUGGAGCUUUAAUUUAUCUCAUCUUCUGUAUAUGUCUUGGUUAUAAAUACAAAAAUAUCUGUAUGAGUAACGGAAUAAAUACGCAAAAGUAAUUUAUCAA